rnacentral:rRNA from 1 species
AUGUGCAUAGCUUGCUCAUCCAAUAAGCUAUCUAUAUACUCCCAAAUACCAAUAGAGGUUACGGCCAUGGCGAUAGUUGGCUUGUCAAAUGCGGGCGACCGCCUGCCUCCCAAGAGAGCGGUCGGCGACGACGAUGAAGCUGCCGCAGCCGACUACCGCCUCAAAGGCGUGAGGCACCUCUCCGACGCCGGCAUUACCAGGCUUCCAGGCAAGUACGUCCUGCCGGCCUCGGAUCGCCCCGGCCGGAGCGUCAGCGCGGGCACGAGGGUGAAGCUCCCCGUCGUGGACCUCGGGCGCCUCCGCGUGCCCUCAGAGCGAGCGGCCGUGUUGAAAACUCUCGAAGCCGCAUGCCGGGAGUUCGGCUUCUUCCAGGUGGUGAACCACGGCGUGGACGUUGAUGGGGCGGCCGCCAGGAUGCUUGACGUGGCGGCGCGGUUCUUCGAGCUUCCCUUCCAGGAGCGCGCGCGGUACAUGUCGGCUGAUGUCCGCGCGCCCGUUCGGUACGGUACGAGCUUCAACCAGGCCAACGACGCCGUCCUCUGCUGGCGAGACUUCCUCAAGCUCUCCUGCGCGCCGCCGCUGCGCGACGUGGUGCCUUCGUGGCCCGACUCGCCGGCGGACCUCAGGGAGGUGGCGGCUGAGUACGCCUCGGCGAACCGGCGGGUGUUCGUUGAGGUCGUGGAGGCGGCGCUGGAGGCCAUGGGUAUCGGAGGAGGUGACGGCGUGAUGGAGGAGCUGGCCACGGCUGGUUCGCACAUGAUGACGGUGAACUGCUACCCAGCGUGCCCGCAGCCAGAGCUGACGCUGGGGAUGCCGCCGCACUCCGACUACGGCUUCCUGACGCUGGUACUCCAGGACGACGUGGAGGGCCUCCAGGUUAUGCACGGCGGCGAAUGGCUCACCGUCGACCCCGUCCCUGGUUCCUUCGUCGUCAACAUCGGCGACCACUUCGAGAUAUACAGCAACGGCCGGUAUAAGAGCGUGCUGCACCGGGUGGGCGUGAACUCGACGCGCCCGCGCAUCUCGGUGGCGUCGUUCCACAGCGUGGGGGCGGAGCGGGUGGUCGGGCCGGCGGCGGAGCUCCUCGACCAGGGCCGCGGCGGGGAACCACGGCGGUAUAUGGACACCGACUUCGCCACCUUCCUGGCUUACCUCGCCUCUGCCGAGGGCAAGCACAAGACCUUCCUCCAGUCAAGGAGGCUCGCCUUCGCUGACGUCCACUUUUGA